UACGUAGGCAGCGAGCGUUGUUCGGAGUUACUGGGCGUAAAGGGUGUGUAGGCGGUUAUUUAAGUUUGGUGUGAAAUCUCCCGGCUCAACCGGGAGGGUGCGCCGAAUACUGAAUGACUUGGAGUGCGGGAGAGGUGAGUGGAAUUCCUGGUGUAGCGGUGAAAUGCGUAGAUAUCAGGAGGAACACCGGUGGUGUAGACGGCUCUCUGGAACGCAACUGACGCUGAGACGCGAAAGCGUGGGGAGCAAACAGG
rnacentral:rRNA from 1 species